rnacentral:tRNA from 1 species
GGCGGAGUGGUCUAACGGUAGGACGCCAGAUUUUCAAUCUGGAUAGCGCGGGUUCGAUUCCCGUCUCCGUCACCA